CGUCUGAAAGUCUGUCAUAUGAUGAGAAACUGGCGUGUCUGUGAGGAGAACACAAGGACUGAUGUGUGUUAGCUGCACAAAAUGUUUCUGCAUGUCACAAAACAAGAGAAAACAAUUAAUCUGCCCUGACCUGGGGCCCGUUCUUCGUACGUCGCUAACUCGGUUAGCUGGAUUUGAUUGUUGACGAUUUGGCAUGAUCUUGGAUUGUUUGGUUCUUCGAAGCUCAUCCUGGACUUGCUGUCAUAGCAACAGGUGCUGACGAUGGGAUCCUGUUUGGCGACAGGGGCUAUGCCUUCAGGCAGGCAGUACUUCAUGACACCAUUCCCUGGACCACAAACCCGUUACAAUGCAGCUCUAGCCAGGACAAGGCCACGCAUUGAAAUGACCUUUGGCCAACUAAAGGAAGAUUUCAGUGUCUUAAGGGUCUGAGGGUUGCACCUGGAGAGGACCCCUGUGGUGGAGGUGCAGCCUGAUGAUGACCUCCAGCCAGUGCACUUGGACCAAUAGUGGCAGAGCUGCACAGGACAGUAUUGUGGAACACGAUUUUAUGAAUUCUUUUUUUUACACAUAAACUUUCAUUAAAUGAAUAAUAGAAGACAACA